GGGUUUGUAGUGUAGUGGUAUCGCGCUUCAUUUGGGAUCCGCUUUAGGUUCUUCAUUGAAGAGGUCCCGCGUUCGAUCCGCGGCUGACCCC